UGGCUGAGCGGUAAAGCACUUGGCUUUCGAACAGGGGUCCUAGGUUCGAAUCCCUG
rnacentral:tRNA from 1 species